CGUGAGCGGCGGACGGGUGAGUAACGCGUGGGUAACCUGCUCAUACAGGGGGAUAACAGUUGAAAACGGACUGCUAAUACCGCAUAAGCGCACAGUACCGCAUGGUACGGUGUGAAAAACUCCGGUGGUAUGAGAUGGACCCGCGUCUGAUUAGGUAGUUGGUGGGGUAACGGCCUACCAAGCCGACGAUCAGUAGCCGACCUGAGAGGGUGACCGGCCACAUUGGGACUGAGACACGGCCCAA
rnacentral:rRNA from 1 species